rnacentral:tRNA from 1 species
GCCAGGAUAGUCUAGUCCGGCGAGGCGACGGCCUGCAGAGCCGUUUUACAUGGGUUCAAGUCCCAUUCCUGGCU